UGGGUGGAUUAGUGGCGAACGGGUGAGUAACACGUGAGUAACCUGCCCUUGACUUCGGGAUAACUCCGGGAAACCGGGGCUAAUACCGGAUAUGAGCUACCUUCGCAUGGGGGUGGUUGGAAAGUUUUUCGGUCAGGGAUGGGCUCGCGGCCUAUCAGCUUGUUGGUGGGGUGAUGGCCUACCAAGGCGACGACGGGUAGCCGGCCUGAGAGGGCGACCGGCCACACUGGGACUGAGACACGGCCCAGACUCCUACGGGAGGCAGCAGUGGGGAAUAUUGCACAAUGGGCGAAAGCCUGAUGCAGCGACGCCGCGUGAGGGAUGAAGGCCUUCGGGUUGUAAACCUCUUUCAGCAGGGAAGAAGCGCAAGUGACGGUACCUGCAGAAGAAGCGCCGGCUAACUACGUGCCAGCAGCCGCGGUAAUACGUAGGGCGCAAGCGUUGUCCGGAAUUAUUGGGCGUAAAGAGCUCGUAGGCGGUUUGUCGCGUCUGGUGUGAAAACUCGAGGCUCAACCUCGAGCUUGCAUCGGGUACGGGCAGACUAGAGUGCGGUAGGGGAGACUGGAAUUCCUGGUGUAGCGGUGGAAUGCGCAGAUAUCAGGAGGAACACCGAUGGCGAAGGCAGGUCUCUGGGCCGCAACUGACGCUGAG
rnacentral:rRNA from 1 species